GUGAAUCAUCAAAUUUUUGAACGCAAAUUGCACUCUCCUCGGUGAGUAUGCCUGUUUGAGGGUCAGCCUAUAAAAAUCGAUAUAGUUGCUGUUUCGCGGUGGAGUUCGUCGGAAAUUGGGUCAUCUUAAAACCUUUUGAUUUAUGCGAAUUAAACUUUUUUUUUGGUUCUAUGAAUGUUUCAAAGAUAUAUUUCUUUACAAGUUUAAGGUAUCGAUUCUUACUAGAGGUGACCAUCAUAUCGGAUGGAGUACAUAAUGUAUCUUUAAAUA
rnacentral:misc_RNA from 1 species